AGAUCUACCCGGCUGAUCGUAAGACGACGCGCAGAGACUGCGCUCUCGGGCGUUUGCGAGUGCUGCAUGGUGUCGUCAGCUCGUGCCGUGAGGUGUUAGGUUAAGUCUGCAACGAGCGCAACCCUUACCUUCAGUUGCCAGCACGUCAUGGUGGGGACUCUGAAGGAACUGCCUACGCAAGUAGAGAGGAAGGUGGGGAUGACGUCAAAUCAGCACGGCCCUUAUGUCCGGGGCUACACACGUGCUACAAUGGCGCGCACAGAAGGCAGCGACCCUGCGAGGGGGAGCGAAUCCCGAAAGCGCGUCUCAGUUCGGAUCGGAGUCUGGAACCCGACUCCGUGAAGUUGGAUUCGCUAGUAAUCGCGCAUCAGCCAUGACGCGGUGAAUACGUUCCCGGGCCUUGUACACACCGCCCGUCAAGCCAUGGAAGAUGGUGGUACCUGAAGUCUGUACCCGCAAGGAGCGGCCUAGGGUAAAACUAUAACUGGGGCUAAGUCGAUAACAAGGUAACCUA
rnacentral:rRNA from 1 species